UACGGCCAUAGAAGCGAGAAAAUGCCGGAUCCCGUCUGCUCUCCGCAGCCAAGCUCGCUGUCGCCCGGCUAGUACCAAGGUGGGGGACCACUUGGGAAUCCCGGGUGCUGUAGUU
rnacentral:rRNA from 1 species